UCGGCCCUUUGGUACACCGGAAGUUAAUUUGGAGAUGGAGAUCGGCACUGAAACGGAGGUGGAUCUAUCGGCGGCGCCGGCGAAGGCGGAAUCGGAGACUGUAUCGGAAGCAUAUCCACCAUCCACGUAUCAGCUAGAGGAGGGAGACCGCCGCAGAAGAUCGGAGUCGCCGUCGUUGAAGAAGUGGGGAUAUGUUGAGAGCUCUUGAGACUGUCGAGAAGAAUUCGCAAGCGAUCGCGGAGAGCUUCUCGUCUCUCUUUGUUUCCCUUCGAUCGGCUUUCUCUGAGGCCACAAGUACCUCAGUUGUUCACAUGCAUUGCUUUGGCGAGGAAGCAGGACGACUUCUGGAAACCCGGAAGUGAAGUUCUCUAGUUGCAGCCACCAAGGGCAAUCGCUACAUUAAUCCUUGCCUCAGCAUUGAUUUCCAUCCAGCAUAUAAAGGAAGCAGAUACACUACUUGAGGUGUCUGUGAAGAAGAAAGAAGAACAAAGCUGCGAGAAGAAAAAGAAGCUCGGCGGAAGAGGCUGAGAAUAAGAGAAAAGAAGAAGCUGACAUGAAAAGCAAAGUUGGAUGAGAUUGCGGAGAAGCAGAGGCAAAGAGAACUGGAAGCCAGAGGAGAAGGAUAGGAUUAGACGAAGAAGCUCUGUUGAAACAAACCGAGUCUCCACCUUCUCGUCUGCCAACGGGACCGGGGAUGAUCACUGGGCAAGCAGAGGACUGCCAUCUCGGAGACCUGACCGGAGGACCAGCAGCAGGGAAAGAACUGCUGCCCCUCCUCCGGCCCCAAGGUGACCGCUGGGGCGAACACCAGAAGUGACACCUGGCGCAGUGACUGAUGACCGUCGAUUAUAUAACACACGAGACAGUUUUGUCUUCGAAAUGGGGUUCUUCCUCUUGUUUUGGCACUGAAGAUCUUUGUUUUGUUACUACAUAUGAACCAUGUCUUAGGAUCAUCAUCAUCAUCAUCAUCAUCAUGAUGUGGAAACAGUGAGAGUCAAAAGGCCAUUCAUAA